rnacentral:rRNA from 1 species
CAAGUAGGUGGUCUCAUUUGUCUAGGGUGAAAUCCUUGGGCUUAACCCAAGAAGUGCCCUAGAAACGGUGAGACUCGAGUUCCGGAGAGGUGGGUGGAAUUCCCGGUGUAGCGGUGAAAUGCGUAGAGAUCGGGAGGAACACCAGAGGCGAAGGCGGCCCACUGGACGGACACUGACACUCAACUGCGAAAGCGUGGGGAGCAAACAGGAUUAGAUACCCUGGUAGUCCACGCUGUAAACGAUGGGAACUAGGUUUGAUGGGUCUUGACCCCCGUCGAACCGGCGCUAACGCACUAAGUUCCCCGCCUGGGAAGUACGGUCGCAAGACUAAA